rfam:Microcebus murinus cont1.174331, whole genome shotgun sequence.
UAAUGAAUUGAUGAGAAAUACAGUGAAGAUCAAAUGUCCGUCACAAAAUACUGCUUUUAGAAAAGCAGAAUUUAAAGAAAAAUGAAAAUCA